GACUUUCGAAAUCGGCUUGUACGGGUGGGGGGAACCCCCUGUGCUGUCGCGCUCGGCUGACCUGCGUGGUGCCCCGGAUUUACCAAAACGAGCGUGAAAAUAGGGCCAGUGGGGAGGCCCAGCAGGAGCAGCCGGGGUCCCUGCCAGUGACGACCCGGGAUCUGCUCUCUGGAGACCGGUGGGGUGGAAAGCCCACUGGGGGGGGGGGGGAACCCAGAUAAGACUUGGGUGAGCGAUGAAGAGCUGGCGCUGUCGAGGUCUAGGAGAAUGGACACUGCAGAGACCUUUGACCUUGUUUUCCAGGUUGCACACAUGCGGACUUCCACCCCUGUAAGACUGGAGGAAAGGGCUCUGCUACCCUGACUCACCCAGAGCCGGCCGCCUUAUGGGGACUGCAGCAAGAUGGAUGGAAAAUAUGUGCAGGAUCUGUUGUUACAAUAGACAGAAAACUGAACUGUAGUCUAUGUGUAGCUUCCGACCAAAGGAACUUCUUGAGUUAAUAUUAACUUAAGGGACUCCCUUGGGCAAAGUUACUGAUAGUGGCCAAAGGCCCUUCGGUCUGACCAUCUUCCGAGAACCAGAGCUGCUGUAAAGAGAGUUUCCUCUGCACUCUUGACUACUGCCACGUUCUCAGGUACUAGUCUACGGAGGUCCAUUGUAAAGCCAAAAAGAUGGAAAAUGUUUUGUCUUGAUGGUUUUAAUAAUAAAUCCAUUCGCUGCUUGUACAACU
rnacentral:lncRNA from 1 species